CGCGCCUCCAGGAUGAUAUCUUUUACCCUUUUGGAAAAUGUAUCCUGAGGAAUAGUCAUGGGAUCUUCCAAGCUGUCAACUUCAAUGUUUUCAAGCUGGGGUGUAGUGUCCUGUAAUUGUGCUGUGUCAGAAGAAGUGGCCAUUGAGGAAG